rnacentral:rRNA from 1 species
UACGUAGGGGGCAAGCGUUGUCCGGAUUUAUUGGGCGUAAAGAGCGUGUAGGCGGCCAUACAGGUCAGCUGUGAAAACUCGAGGCUCAACCUCGAGACGUCGGUUGAAACCGUAUGGCUAGAGCCGGAAGAGGAGAGUGGAAAUUCCCGGUGUAGCGGUGAAAAUGCGCAGAUAUCGGGAAAGAACACCUAUGGCGAAGGCAGCUCUCUGGGACGGUACUGGAGCUGAGACGCGGAAGCGUGGGGAGCAAAACAGG